rnacentral:lncRNA from 1 species
UGAGUAGAUAUGUAUGAACAUCUGAAUACAUGAAAAGUAACCAUGUGAAUUCUAAAGAUCAAGUAUGCAAGUCAUCUUCUCAUUUUCAUCUAAAUCCACUAUUGUGAUGUUCGUCUUUUUGGUUCUCUUCCUAGCUAGUCUGUGGUCUAUGAUGAUGAGGAUGUACCAGUGAACAAGUGUUCCCUGAUGUUAUGUACUAGCUUGAGAAAAUAAUGAAGUUCUAAGUUGGGUAUCUAUUAGAUAGACAAAAGUAACUUUAUGUUGAUGACAUUUAAAAGAAGAUUCAAGCACCAAUGUACACAAGUAGGGAAAUACUAGCCAUCAGGUCCCUUUCUCUCAUAUUGAGAGUCAUCAUUAGGAUCUGUCAGACUUUUCUUGAUCCUCCCUUGUCAUUUACUAGUAAUUAGAUCUAAUCCAUUUGCUAUUUCGCAUGACAAACAAACUCUUCGUGGCUCUCUUUAGCAGAAUUUAUUAUGCUUUUGUGGCCAGAUUUGCCUGGUGAUUAUCAAUGUCAAAUGAAACUAUUGGAGGAUCGUGUCUGAUAGAAGCUGGAAUAUUUGAUCAAAGAAAAACAAAAUUGAUCAAACACGGUAAAAUAGCAGUUGCACUUCAAACUUCACCCACCUAAUCCAUUAAUUUUGGGUAUAGUUUCUGCUAAUCAUGAGAUCGAAAUGCUGAUGCUGUACAAACAGAAAAAAUUGUUGACAUAGUAAACCAAAGAUUGAGAAAAGAAAUAUAAGCAUGAAUAGAAACAGGGAAACUGGUUAGAAACAGAGAUGCUCGCCCCUCGUGUCAUCUGUUACUACUUGGGUUUUAUAUAUAUAUAUAGCUUAUUGUCUGAAAAGUGAAAAGUAGUAGCAGUUGAAUAGAUUUCAGAUGUCAAAAACCGAAUGUGCAUGCAUCAUUCUUGGGUCAGCUCAAGGCCUCUGUCUAAAAUCCUAUGUUCCUUAUCGUACUCGGUUUAAUCUAGUCCACCCUACCCUAUCUCAUAUUCCAAUCCAAGACCAUUUCUACGAUUCCUUUGUCACAAAGUUCUCCGAUGUAAUUAAGAAGAUUUUCCAUGCAUAUAAAAUUACCUCUUCAUUGGUCAUCAAUAACGUGACGCAUUGGGAAUAAAAAGAUUAGUUAAAAAAAAAAUCAGCAAUCAGAUGAGGCCCGCCCGUGGUGGAAGGUGGGCGUGUUUUUUUUUUUUUUUUUCCUAAUGGAGUGGAUAUCCAGAUCAAUUCUCAUGGGAUUCGACUAAUUUCAUUCCGUUACGGAAGGAGAGGCCUCAUCUCUCCGAAUACAAUAAUCAUAGAACUCGAAUCUUUGUCAGUACUGAACACCAGCUCCUAAAAAAGCUUGUUGAGACCAACCGAGUUGACCACGAAAGCGUGAAAGGUGGGCGUCAAGUACUCCUAUUUGGAGAUGUCCCGCGGAUAUGUUGACUUCCUUAUCGGACAAGAAAGUACUACUAGUCCUAAAAAAUUUUUCGAGAACCAUUUCGUAUAAAUAAAUACUCCUCUCCCUCAGGCUCCUCCCACAGCACAAGCAUCUUUUCACCCCCCACCAUUUUGUUUCAGACAUCAAACAACUCUAGUCUUAUCAAAUUAUUCUUUCUUUGAUUAAAUUAAUGUCUCUAAGGGCAAGGUCGACACCAUCCGCCACCGCAACCUCGGUUGCCGCCACCACCGAAGAUGCUCCCGACACCCCAAAACCUCAACCACCACAGCGCUCCUCCUCACCUCUAUCUCAACGCGCACUAUCUCAAGCAUUAACCAGCACGGCCAACUUGGCUAACCUCCUCCCCACGGGGACCCUUUUAGCUUUCCAGCUGCUAACACCGGUUUUCACCAACAAUGGCUCGUGCGACGCGGCCACACGGCCCAUGACCAUCAUCCUCCUCGCCCUGCUCGCCGUCUCGUGCUUCCUAGCUUCCUUCACCGACAGCGUUAAAUUAUCCGAUGGGCAGGUUUAUUAUGGUUUUGCAACUUUUAGAGGAAUGUGGCUGUUCGACGCUCGGGGGACUAUUGCUUCUGGUUCUGAAGUUGGCGUUCCUGACUUGAGCAAGUAUAGAUUGGGAUUCAUCGACUGGGUUCAUUCAGUUCUAUCCGUUUUUGUGUUUGCUGCCGUGGCUUUGAGAGAUAAAAAUGUGGUGGGGUGUUUGUAUCCGAAGCCGGAUCAUGAAGUUCAAGAGGUUUUGGACAUCGUUCCCAUUGGAAUUGGAUGCCUUUGCGGGUUGCUGUUCUUGGUCUUCCCCACCAGAAGACAUGGGAUCGGCUACCCUGUCACUCCAGGCAAUUAAUUAGUCACAUGUUCUUCUGUCUAAUUAUUCUUUGAUUCUUCACUCUGUGAUCAGUAAUAAUAGUAUACAAAUUCUGUUCCCUGAUUAACAAAAAAAAAAAAAAA